rnacentral:rRNA from 1 species
UACGAACCGUACGAACGUUAUUCGGAAUCACUGGGCUUAAAGAGUUCGUAGGCGGCUAUGAAGGUGAGGUGUGAAAUCCCCCGGCUCAACCGGGGAAUUGCGCUUCAAACCACAUGGCUUGAGGAAGACAGAGGUAAGCGGAACUGAUGGUGGAGCGGUGAAAUGCGUUGAUAUCAUCAGGAACACCGGUGGCGAAGGCGGCUUACUGGGUCUUUUCUGACGCUGAGGAACGAAAGCUAGGGGAGCGAACGGG